UGGGGAAUCUUGCGCAAUGGCCGAAAGGCUGACGCAGCGACGCCGCGUGGGGGAGGAAGGCCUUCGGGUUGUAAACCCCUGUUGCCCGGGACGAAUGUGCUCUUCAGAGAGCAUUGACGGUACCGGGUGAGGAAGCACCGGCUAACUCCGUGCCAGCAGCCGCGGUAAUACGGAGGGUGCAAGCGUUGUCCGGAAUCACUGGGCGUAAAGGGCGCGUAGGCGGCUCAUGAAGGCUGUGGUGAAAGUCCGGGGCUCAACCUCGGAUCGGCCGUGGCGACUCGUGGGCUGGAGCACUGUAGAGGCGGGUGGAAUUCCGGGUGUAGCGGUGGAAUGCGUAGAGAUCCGGAAGAACACCAGUGGCGAAGGCGGCCCGCUGGGCAGUGGCUGACGCUGAAGCGCGACAGCGUGGGGAGCAAACA
rnacentral:rRNA from 1 species